UGAGCUAAAGUUCAAUGAAGAAGCAGAAGUAUAUGCAUUUGAUCGGGUUGCAAUUCUAAUAAAACACUUCUGAAGGCUAUAUUUUUUUUUUUAUUUUUUUUUUUUUUUUUAUUUUGAAGAGUAGUAGGAAAAGUACUCGCCCAAAACUAUAUUACAGUAUGAAAGAUACGGAUAAAUUAAACUACAGUAAAGCGUAAGAAGACACUGUAGUAACAAGACGCCUAACCCUCCUUAUACCAGUAAAUAUUUUACUAACGUAAUCAGCUUGUUCCCUCCAACUCAAGAAAACUCCCAAUAAUUUAGUAUUUGACACUGAGGCACCUCAAUAGACUCAAUAGUAAUUUUUGAUAAAUCAUUAGGGUAGCCUAUAUGUGAAGUUUAACAAGAAUUAAUGUAUUUGUUUGAAAUUACGACUUAUAAGGGGUUUAUGUUGCUGAUCAACACUAUGCUGGCAGCUGAGUUUUAAAAUUCUAUUGAACCCAGAAUAUUCAUCUGUCCUUAAUCAUGACUGCAGUUUCAGUUUACAUAAAUGACUGAGGGGGAAAAAAAUCCAAAACCACCUUUUGAAUAGAGUGAAACAUGGUUUGAAUAUGUUUUGGAAAAUCAGCAAGAAAUGUGUGAGUUGAAAUCCCCUAGAACUCUUUCAAGUGUCUUGUUAGAUUCAUACAAGCUAUUCUAGAAUCAAAACAUUUGUUUCCUGACAAAUAUACACUAUUGGACAGAGCAAUAUGUGGGUUUAAAAUAGGCGCACAAAACACUUCAUCAAAUGAAAUGUAAACAAGCUGCGGAUCAGCACUUCUGCUAAUCGACUCUCCUGACAUAUGAUUGUUUUGAGCACAAGAACACCUUGUUCCCUUCCUCAUCCAACAGCUCUGUUUUUGGCACAAGGCGCUUUCAAAAAACCCAUGUGGCAAACAGGUGCAAUUUCCUAACUGGUUUUCAACACCAGGUGGCCCUAAAUUGCCACAGUAGAGUAAGGCCCACCAGGGCAGUCUUUUGUAAGCAGUACUGAAGGAAGGCUGACAAGAGCAAUGUGUUUAUAGUCCUAGUGCCACAUUUAGAUUACAGUGCAUGGCAUCUGUUUGUGAGAGGCAUGAAGUAAUGGAGGCGACCCAGGUGGGACAAACCUCUCAAAUUACAUAGACAAUGAGGAUACACACCUCUUUGUCAAUGGAAGGAAUGAAGGAACCUACACAAGACAAGGUCUGUCUCUAUUUCUCCAUGUUUCUCAACUCACUCUGGACUUUAAUAGGCCAAACUUUAAGUUUCAGCCUUUUUUCCAUUUACGGUGAGUGUUUCUCCCACUCUGACAGUCCUUAGUGUCAGCUCUGUUGCCCCCCGUGGUCUAUCAGCCAAAAGUAAUAGACGAGACAACUCGUCCCUGGCCUACUGUGUGCUGUCAAUGAGAUGACGGCAGAAUACAAGGCUUGUGUAUUAUGACUGAUGUGGAGCCCUCCAGCCAGGCCGCGCUGCUAGUCUAUUGAUUAGUCACCAGCCUGGUCUCAUGGGAGGCCCCGUCCCUUGGUCAUCCAUCAUACUGAUUUUCUCUCGUUUUAGACAGACAAAAAAAAAGUUACCAGGAUAAACUCCUAUCUGAAAGUGCAGGUGCACCCAUUUAAAAAAAUAUGUAUAAUAUUAUCUGAUUUGAGUGCAUGGUACGCUUCAUUUAGGUGAGAUAAGGUUGUAGGUUGUCAUGCUAGCCUGAGCUUCAUGGGAUUUUAAAAUAAAUGUAAACUAAAUAGGCCAUUAUCUUGCUUGAACUUAAUGAUUCCCAUCCAUUUCUUUCACACAAGACCUGUGGGUUUAUAAAGAUUUUAUUUUAUUUUUUAUUUAUUUUUUCCCGAAAUUUUGUAAUCAGGUACAAAAACAGUCUGAUUCACUGCCUAUUUAAUCAAGGCCAGUUUUUAAUGGAAGUGGAGUUUACUUUAUUCCAUUAAUGAUACCAAAAGGUUAAAAUUAGUCUAGUCAAGGCAAACCAUUUAUCAAAUUGAUUGUAAAUGUCCAUUUUCUUUAAAAGAAAUACAUAAAUAAAUAAAAUAUAUACAGGCUGUCAGUCUAUGCAUUAUGGUGAGAGUUAUUUAGUGGCCUUUCUGCUUACAAGUCAACAUUAAGCCACAGGUGACGCAAGCGAACGAGUCUUUGAAUCGUUGAACAGAUUCGUUCAAAUCACUGAUUCAUUCAGGAACGUCACAAUUAUUUUUUUUGCUCAGAGACGUUCGGUUUGCUGUGGUGUUGUUUAAAAACAUUUUCGUUGGCGGAGCCAAAAUGGACAAAGUAAAUGGCAAUAUUGUGUCUAAAAUGUUAGCAAUUUGUCCUACAGUUUUGGCAGAUGUUAUGAGAACAUGGAAAAAUAUGUGAAUCAGCCGUUUGGUGCUGGACGAACUGACCAGCUUUUCGCCCUCAGAAAACACGAGUUCUAUACAAAAAGAUAAAGGAGACGAGGUGGAAGAGAUGCGAUUGGCCCCUGCCCCGUCAUCAUCAAGGAUACAGGUUGGCAAGGAGGAAUCGGACAUUAAUGCGGUCGGCUAACUGUGUCAAGGACGCAGAAGCCAAACCUGGUACAGUUCACCUGUGAGAGACCUGAGAGCACGAACGCAGAGAGGAACUGACCCACUAAACAAACUUACAACUCUACAUUCUGCACUCUUCCGUAAAUUAAAGGUAAAGUUCCCCAGAAAAUGAAAGCUUAUCAUUGUUUACGCACUGUUAUUUCGGUCGAAUGCAAAAAUAAUUUUCAUAUAGAUCAUUUCCAUACAAUGACAUUUCAUAGUGGACAGGCUGUCAAGCUCCAAAAAGGACAAAAAUUGCACAAUAAAAGUAGUCUGUUUGGUAAUAUUUUGAGUCUUCUGAAGUUAUAUGAUGAAAAAGACUGAAAUUUAAAUAAAUAUUCUAUGAAAAUGUUUAGUACACCACCAUUUAAAAGUUU